rnacentral:lncRNA from 1 species
GUCAGCAUACUGUCAUGUGGGGCCUCGACAGGUUGGCAAUGGGUCACCUCCAGCUACAAAAGAGGGAGUUGUACAGGGAAACAGGCAUCGAAUAAUCAUUUUGAGAACCUAGACUCUAUCUUCCAACUACUGCUCAUCUUCUUCCUCCCUUCUCUCAUGUACCCGGAUUCUCUUCCUUCUAGAACACGACAGCUAUUGUGCUUCUCCAUUCUACUUCUCUUGCUGUUACCCUCCCUAAACUCCUCUCUGAUUGUACCAGAUUAUAUGCUUAGCGUUUUCAUGUUAUUGAGUUGAGUUCGUCAGAUUAGUGUUGUUAACAAUUGGUAUCAGAUUCGUUCGAUCCUCGGAGUUUUCUACCUCGAUCCGUCUUCCUCAACUUCACCGCAUCGACAUGUCGCUUGACACGGAGCUCAUCCUCGGUGCCAUCGGCAAGCUAUUCGACGACUUAAACGCUCGUUGGGAGCGCCGUCUUCCCAAGUUCUUGCCUGCACAGGAGGCCUCUCACGUCAUCUCCGUUCUGACCCCGACUACGACUGUUGGGGCCGCAAUCAUCGCCGACAACUGGGGCGGCGGCUUCAACGGAGGCGAGUACUCAUUCGAGCAGCACUGCGUGGUGCCAUCCAUCGUCGCCGACAACUGGGGCAGGCUCUUCGAUCGGCUCGGAGCAGUGCCUCGGCGUCCACGAUCCACUGCUAUGGAUUCAGAGUCCGUGUACCAGAACUGCAAGGAGUUGGAGUCAGAGUUCCUCACCUCCCUUGUCGCCCAUGCUCCCUCGCCCGAGGAGGCAAUGGUUGCGAUGGGCGCAGCCGCAGACGCGGGGGGCUUCGCGAGGUUCGACCCGCCCUCACCACUUGACCCCUACGACGACAUCGCUACCACCCAGGCCCUCUUCCCCGAGUUCAACGCCGUCCCUGCGGACGCGCUUGCUCGCCACGAGGACGACCGUGCUACCAUAUCCAACAACUCCUUCAGCAGAUCAGCGACAACCUCCUCAGCCUCGCCCAUGACUUCCCUGACCUCCACUCCACCUCAGGAUGGUGUUCCCGUCCUCUCCAUCUUCACCGUCGUUGUGGAUCCUGAGCACAACGUCACGCCGGACACGGAUGUGAGCUCUGGCAAGCCACUGAUGUCUUCUUCUUCAGCAUCAGCCACCGUCGCCACCAGCAAGCUGGCGUCACCCUUGAUUUGGACAGGCAUCACCCUUGAUUUGGACUGGAGUCACCCUUCCUCAAUGGCUCCCACGCCAUCACAGAAGGCUAUCCUCACCCUUGAUUUGGACAGGCGGCACAGUAUGCAGAAGGGCGCUUGCAACCUAUUCGAUGAAAUGCCCACGAGCGCCUGGAGGAUCCUCAACCCUGCGUUCCACCUCGAGAAGCUCAAGCUCAUGCUGCCGGUGUUUUCUACGUGUUGCGAAGAGCUUGUCAGCCGAUGGGCACAAGCACUUGGUCCUGACGGCUCGUGCGAGCGGGACGUGGACCCGGAGCUUCAGACACUCACCGGAGAUGUCAUCUCUCACACUGCGUUCGACAGCAGCUACCUCGAAGGAAGAAAGAUUUUACAUCUGCAGGUCGAGCAAGUUGAGCGCCUCAUGUCCAUCAUUGACAAGUUCACCGGGAUACAUGUCCUUGCCUACUAGAAACAACAGAAGGAUGUGUCAAAUCAAAACCGAGAUUGUGUCAAAUCUUCAUGUCUGAUUGGUAAAAGGAUGCAAGCUAUGAAAGAAGGUGAAAGUGACAAAGACGACCUGCUGGGCUUACUGUUGGAGUCAAAUGUGAGAGAGACCAAAGAGAACGGCAGCCUGCCCAGCCAAGGAAUGACCAUUGAAGACGUCAUGAACCCUGACGGCGUGAAUGUGCAGCUGCUAGUGAUGAUAUUCUCCAUGAAGGAUUGUAGAACUUUGAUAAUGGUGCAGCUGAAAUGGGAUCGAGAUGCCUACUCAUCAAGAUAUAUUAGUGAAGAUGGUGGUACCUACAAUAUGAACCCUAAGAUAUCAGAUUUUGGUAUCGCAAGAGGGAACCAAUAGGAAGCAAACACUAACCGAGUUGUUGGGACGUAUGGCUACAUGUUUCCUGAAUAUGCAAUCAAUGGACCUUUUUCAGUCAUGUAUGAUACAUACGGCCUUGGUGUUAUUGUGUUGGAGAUCAUAUGUGGUCUGCAAAUCACUUUGACUCACUCCACAAGUUUCCCUGGCCUAUUAGCUUAUACAUGGAGCCUAUGGAAUGGUGGCAGGGCAAUGGAUUUGGUGGACUCAUCCCUACUAGAAAGUUGCUCGGCAAGUGAAGCUCUGAGGUGUAUACACUUAGGACUCUUGUGUGUACAAGACAGUCCAAACAGUAGACCAUCCUUGUCAUUAGAGAUUUUGCUGGAGACUGGUACGAGUCGUCCUAGUUCUUGGCCAAAUUUUGUUUUGGGUGGUAUGCGUUCUGCAAUUGGUCACUAAAACCUCCAUGGCCACCUCUACGUCCACGACAAGAAUUUAUCUUCCUCCUUGUUAUUUGGUUGCUGCAAGCAGUCAGUUGUCUGCCAGUUUGUAUGAGGUGAUCCAACAAAUUGUUUCAGUACUCCUGCUAUCACAGUGAAGGGCCACAAUUCCUCUGCAAUGGUCAUCUUGCUGUUGAUUUGAGGUUGUCGAAAAGUACAAGAUAUUGGUACGCAUGGGUUCGGAUCAAAGGGCUCCAAUUCUAUGGCCAAGCCAGUGGAAUAUUCACCAUGUUUGCUAUGGUUCUAUGCACACUUGAGGAAGCUUAUUCACCAUUCAUAGUCAGCACUAUCAACGGCUUUGGGGCAAGCCGCAUUUCAAGCGGUGGGGACUGUCAGCAUACUAUCAUGUGGGGCCUCGACAGGUUGGCAAUGGGUCACCUCCAGCUACAAAAGAGGGAGCUGUACAGGGAAACAGGCAUCGAAUAAUCAUUUUGAGAACCUAGACUCUAUCUUCCAACUACUGCUCAUCUUCUUCCUCCCUUCUCUCAUGUACCCGGAUUCUCUUCCUUCUAGAACACGACAGCUAUUGUGCUUCUCCAUUCUACUUCUCUUGCUGUUACCCUCCCUAAACUCCUCUCUGAUUGUACCAGAUUAUAUGCUUAGCGUUUUCAUGUUAUUGAGUUGAGU